rnacentral:rRNA from 1 species
GAUGAACGCUGACAGAAUGCUUAACACAUGCAAGUCAACUGUGGCGGACGGGUGAGUAACGCGUAAAGAACUUGCCUCACAGCUAGGGACAACAUUUGGAAACGAAUGCUAAUACCUGAUACUGUGAGAGAGCUUUGCGUCCCAUUAGCUAGUUGGAGAGGUAACGGCUCACCAAGGCGAUGAUGUGUAGCCGGCCUGAGAGGGUGAUCGGCAACAAGGGGAUGUAGAUACGGCCCUUACUCGUACGGGAGGCAGCAGGUGGGAAUAUUGGACAAAGGACCAAAGUCUGAUCCAGCAAUUCUGUGUUCACGAUGAAGUUUUCGGAAUGUAAAGUGCUUUCAGUUGGGAAGCGGUACCAACAGAAGAAGUGACGGCUAAAUACGUGCCAGCAGCCGCGGUAAUAC